rnacentral:rRNA from 1 species
UACGUAGGGGGCAAGCGUUGUCCGGAUUUAUUGGGCGUAAAGAGCGUGUAGGCGGCCACACAGGUCAGCUGUGAAAACUCGAGGCUCAACCUCGAGACGUCGGUUGAAACCGUAUGGCUAGAGUCCGGGAAGAGGAGAGUGGAAUUCCCGGUGUACGCGGUGAAAUGCGCAGAUAUCGGGAAGAACACCCGUGGCGAGGCGGCUCUCUGGGACGGUACUGACGCUGAGACGCGGAAAGCGUGGGGAGCGAACAGG